UACAGAGGGUGCAAGCGUUAAUCGGAGUUACUGGGCGUAAAGGGCGCGUAGGUGGUCAUUUAAGUUAGAUGUGAAAUCCCUGGGCUUAACCUAGGAACUGCAUCUAAUACUGGAUGACUGGAGUACUGUAGAGGGUAGUGGAAUUUCCGGUGUAGCGGUGAAAUGCGUAGAGAUCGGAAGGAACACCAGUGGCGAAGGCGGCUACCUGGACAGAUACUGACACUGAGGCGCGAAAGCGUGGGGAGCAAACAGG
rnacentral:rRNA from 1 species